GACGAACGCUGGCGGCGUGCUUAACACAUGCAAGUCGAGCGAUGAAGUUCCUUCGGGAAUGGAUUAGCGGCGGACGGGUGAGUAACACGUGGGUAACCUGCCUCAUAGAGGGGAAUAGCCUUUCGAAAGGAAGAUUAAUACCGCAUAAGAUUGUAGUAUCGCAUGAUACAGCAAUUAAAGGAGUAAUCCGCUAUGAGAUGGACCCGCGUCGCAUUAGCUAGUUGGUGAGGUAACGGCUCACCAAGGCGACGAUGCGUAGCCGACCUGAGAGGGUGAUCGGCCACAUUGGGACUGAGACACGGCCCAGACUCCUACGGGAGGCAGCAGUGGGGAAUAUUGCACAAUGGGGGAAACCCUGAUGCAGCAACGCCGCGUGAGUGAUGACGGUCUUCGGAUUGUAAAGCUCUGUCUUCAGGGACGAUAAUGACGGUACCUGAGGAGGAAGCCACGGCUAACUACGUGCCAGCAGCCGCCGUAA
rnacentral:rRNA from 1 species